AAUUCGAUUCCCUUAGUAGCGGCGAGCGAAACGGGAAGAGCCCAAACCAACAAGCUUGCUUGUUGGGGUUGUAGGACACUCUAUACGGAGUUACAAAGGACGACAUUAGACGAAUCAUCUGGAAAGAUGAAUCAAAGAAGGUAAUAAUCCUGUAGUCGAAAAUGUUGUCUCUCUUGAGUGGAUCCUGAGUACGACGGAGCACGUGAAAUUCCGUCGGAAUCUGGGAGGACCAUCUCCUAAGGCUAAAUACUCUCUAGUGACCGAUAGUGAACCAGUACCGUGAGGGAAAGGUGAAAAGCACCCCGGAAGGGGAGUGAAAUAGAACCUGAAACCGUGUGCUUACAAGUAGUCAGAGCCCGUUAAUGGGUGAUGGCGUGCCUUUUGUAGAAUGAACCGGCGAGUUACGAUUUGAUGCAAGGUUAAGCAGUAAAUGUGGAGCCGUAGCGAAAGCGAGUCUGAAUAGGGCGUUUAGUAUUUGGUCGUAGACCCGAAACCAGGUGAUCUACCCUUGGUCAGGUUGAAGUUCAGGUAACACUGAAUGGAGGACCGAACCGACUUACGUUGAAAAGUGAGCGGAUGAACUGAGGGUAGCGGAGAAAUUCCAAUCGAACCUGGAGAUAGCUGGUUCUCUCC
rnacentral:rRNA from 1 species